rnacentral:rRNA from 1 species
CAGUCGAGAAUCUUGGACAAUGUACGAAAGUAUGAUCCAGCGACGCCGCGUGGAGGAUGAAGGAGCUAUGCUUCGUAAACUCCUUUUAUGAGGGAAGAAGAUCUGACGGUACCUCAUGAAUAAGCCACGGCUAACUACGUGCCAGCAGCCGCGGUAAUACGUAGGUGGCAAGCGUUGUCCGGAAUUACUGGGCGUAAAGGGUGUGUAGGCGGAUAUUUAAGUAGAAAGUGAAAGGUUGGAGCUCAACUCCAACAUUGCUUCCUAUACUGGAUGUCUUGAGUUUCGGAGAGGAAGAUGGAACGACACGUGUAGCGGUGAAAUGCGUUGAUAUGUGUCGGAACACCAAUAGCGAAGGCAAUCUUCUGGACGAAUACUGACGCUGAGACACGAAAGCAUGGGUAGCGAACAGGAUUAGA